ensembl:lincRNA RIKEN cDNA F730311O21 gene
GUGGAGCUGUGGGGUGAAUCUGGAGGGUGGGUGAGCCUCAGCAAUGUAUACUGGGUGUGGUGCUGAACCCUGGGAGUCCUGAACUAAACAGAAUAUACACUGCCCUUCAAAGCCUGGAGGUCCAGGGGAGGAGAGUUAUGAGAGUGGUGACUACCCCAACUUCCUAGGAAGUUUCCUCUCGAUACUGCUGCAGUUUCAUGGUACAGGGGCUUCAAGUGUCAUCAGACAUCAGGGCCACUGCAUGCCAUGACGCACAGUAACGUUUGGAUGAAAACAUUUGGUACAGAUAUUCAGAUGAAAGAUCCAAAAAGUCACUGCCAAUUAAUUCUUUAACUGGCAGAGAAAAUGGACCCUAUGGAGACCCUUAGACCGUAUCAGGAAUGUCGGACUCAUCUGGCCACAGAGGUUUGAGGUGGUGGACAUUGUGAAGCCACAGGAUACAACUGGAGGCAAAGCACAGCUCAUGGUUUCUGGUGUUGGACCAGAAGGAAGGCUGGGUAAGUGGUUAGAUUGAGUUCACAGCUCCAGUUUGAGACUUACACAGUCAUGUGAGUCCACCGAGAAGCAGAUAGCACCCAGUAGGGUAGCAGAUAGCACCCAGGAGGGUCUAAAAAUGGAGCUUCGUGGAGGGGCACUACAGGAAUGACAUCUGAACUCUCACCAAGGAAGGGACCCAAAACAAGUCAAGAGGUUUUUAGGGAGCAGGAAUUCCUUGGAAACCUUAAAAUGGAGACUUCUGAGCCCAUGUGUAACACUCACAUCCACUGAUGGACUUCACACUCUGCUGCCCUCCAGCCCAGGCAACAUGCUGUCCUCAGGGUGGAUGUUCUGGCCUAGUAUGGAGUCUGUAUCCUUUGGACAGGCCACGGCCAGAAACCAGCUCCUUUUCCCUUGAUUCUGGGGUUCAGGCUCCACACUUAGGCCUUUUAGGAGCCCUAAGAGAGUAAGAAAAUUGAUGUAGCUGCCCAGACUGGCUUCUGUGACCCUGGAGAAGUCACUACUUUUUUCUGGGCCUUGGCUUAGUACUUGUUUGAUGACAAUCUCUGCUCCAGGUUCUGUCCCAAGUGAGGACCUGAACAAGGUAGGCAUGAGCCUUACAACUGGUGUGAAGACCCAUUUGAGCAGGAAGGUGGUCUAGGUUGUUUUCCUAACAGCUUUCAGACGGUCUAGCCUGUGACUCUUGGACUAUGUCCAGGAUGGGAUGCUGGUGUCACACAGGAAGAUGGAAUAGUUUCAGAGCAGAGAGUGGAUGCAGGUUCCACAGACUCUCAAGAGAUUUUGGGACUGAACACUGAGUUUUAGGCUCCCUCUAAGGGAGGUCUUACCCUGCAGGCUAGUGCCCUGAACAUGCCCCUUCAAGAAGCACUUCACCUCAUGUUCAGGUGAUAAGAUGACCAAGCCUUCAGAGUGAGGUCUCUGUGUCAUCUUCCAAUUGGCCCGGCUUCCACAGGAGCAAUGGGUUCCCUUCUAGACAUCAUGCAUAAGAACAAAGAGAUGGGAUUGUUUCCAGAAGUCACCGGCUUGGCUGUUAAAAGACUAUUGUUUCUUCAUGUGUGAACUCUUGGGGAUAAGCCCAAUGCCCGGCCAAUAGCACACUCUACCACUGAACUACUCCCCCAGCCUGUCCAAAGCCUUGCUGGAUGAAGAGAACCUAGGGUUGGUGGGCACUGGGAGCAGACAGUAAAUCCUUGAAGUGCUGCCUUGUGGAUUCUACAGGAAGGUAGCUAACUGAGCAAAAGACUAAGUCCUGACCUAUAUGGAGCAGAGUGGGAUUUGCCGGUGUCUCACAUAGUCUUUGUAAGAGUGAAGAAUGGCAGGCAGGAUUCAAACUCUCCAAGGAGGGGAUGACAGAGAGCGUAGCGCCAUUCCCCUGGGACUGGGAGAGGGCAGGUGUCGCCUUAUGAACAAGAGAGAAUGAUCUCUGGUCUCCUGUGGCUAUCUGCCUUCAGGAAGGGUGCUGCUCGCUCCUCCAGCCCCACUCCAUAAAGACAGGCUUGUGACCUACCGUGGAGCAGGCAGACCGGAGCAGGCCUUGGGAAAGGAAGCCAAGACCCUUCCCUCCCACGCCACCACGAGAGGCUGGUCAUUAGCUUGUAGUAUAGAAGUUGGACUGGGCUGGGCCAGGCCUGGGGGUGGGAUGGGAGGAUGGCUCCUCGAUGAGUCAUCAGACCCUGUCUGCCCCUUCUUCCUUGAGGGAGGGAAGCUGGGGAGACAAGCCGUAGCCAGCUGGGUUUGUGAAGGCAGUUUGGCCACCGGAUCCUUCCAGUUCUGUGGACAACUGGGAACUGGCUUCUUUAUGUUCCUUGUCCACCCAGGACACAGAGUUGGUGAACCACCUGAUCAGGGUGGAAGGCUCCAUCCAAAGCCUAGUUGCCUACUUGCACGGCUAAGGUGGCAGGCCGUGCCGCAGCCUUUGGAGAGACUGCUGGGCCCUGACUGGUACUCUGCAGAAGCUGCUUGCAUGCUUCCUGUGUGAUCACAGCUGAGCCGGAGAGGCCCACCCUCCCUCACACCCUUCCUGAGCCUCCUUCCAAAUCUGUUCUCACCCAGCAGGCCUGUCCACACCACACCCUCUCCCAGACUCUCAGGGAAGCCUGGGGACAGUAGGAGUAACUUUGGGUUGAGGCCCAACCUAUCCUCCAUCCUGCCCCAGUCAGCCUGAUGCUGUGCCCUGGCCAACUUCUGGAGAGGGGACCACAGAAGCACAAGGUUAUUAUACAUCUGGGAAAUGGAGUCCUUGUAUGACAUAUGUAACAGGAGAACCUAGUUUGCAGGAGAAGGAACCUAGUUUGCAGGAGAGGGGACAGUAUAGUAGGGGUGUGUUACCAAAUCCUGUCAGGCCUCCUCUUUGGGGACAGUUUGGGACCACCUUAUGGUUCUUCUAGAGUGGCCUCUCUUUCUUCUUUCUGACUGGGAUGAAUAUAGGCAUGCAAAGGGUGGGGACAGUUGCCCUGGGCAAGGCAGCAGUUUGGCUUGGGAGCCAAGGCAGAUGAGAACUGGACCUCCAGGGGCUUCUGCUUUUGCCAGCAGGAGCUGGAGAUGUGCCUAGGUCUCUCUGAGCCUCAAUUUCUCCAUCUGUAAAAUGAUAGUAAUAACUAUCUUCUAAAGCAAGGCAUGUUAUCUAAUUUAAUUGAGGGGCAGCAGAACCAGGCAGCCCUAAAUAUGCCACUUUGGCUGAGGGUUUUAUGAAACAAAAGGUCUUAAAAGCCUGCAGAUACGGAAGGACCUCUGAGGUCAUCUUUUCUCCUUAUAUGGAAGAGAAGAAACAUUCCUGUUACAAGAAACAGGCUUGAGGCUGGAAAAUGUCUUUACAAACCAACCUUGUUACGACAACUUCCUUCAUCCAGCUAUAGUUAUACAUGUCUGGAUUUCUAACACUUUGGAGAAAGAGGCAGGAGGAUUCCAAAUUGAAGCCAAUAUGGUUUCUAUGGUGACUUUUAGGUCAGUUUGGAUUCUUUAAGACUCUAUAUACAUUAAAAAGGCACCCCCAUCCCCCACCUCUGGGUACAUUUAAAUUAUCAAUACAUUUCACUACUACCAUGUGAAGAUUUGGAGGGGGUCAUUUGGGUUCUUACUUUUCUUGGAAGUUUUCCAUGCACGUGUAAAAUAAAAUCUGUGUGUUUUUCCUGUUGGUCUGACAUAGCUGACUUCUCAAGUCCAGCUGAAGUCUUUACUAAGGCAGGGCAGAGCGUUCCUCCCUACCACUCAUAGCAGCAGCACUUGGAGGCAGAUCCUACCAAGCAUUCACUGUCCUGGAAGUAGCUCUGUAGACAAGGCUGGCUUUGAACUCAGAGAUCUACUUGCCUCUGCCUCCUGAGUGCUGGGAUUAAAGGUAUGUGCCAGGCCAGAGGUGGAGUUGGGGACGGAUCGCAAAAACUGCUCUUGGGGAGACUGCUGCUGUCAAGGGGCAGCUUCGAGAACACAGAGAUGAGCUAAAGGGCCGUGGUGCCUGUUGAGGUUUGAAUAUAGCGUCCCCUGAAAGGCUCACAUGCUGGAGGUGGAGCCUCGUUAGGGGAGAUCAAUCUUUGAGGUGUAUCUGUGGCUGUUGUGGCUUGUCAGGAUGCCACCCUCUCUGCGCUCUCUGCAGCCUCCUCCGCCACAUGCGCAGGACACUACAAUGCUGCCCUACCUAACCAUCUCACCAGCCAAUCAGCCCAUCACUGACCAAAAUCCCUGAAACCAUGGGCUGAAAAAGCCUUCUUUCCUUUCAAUGUGCAGCAUCUGUCACAAUGACAAGGGUAACACAGUGCCCUUCCCUGGACCAUGAUGCCCCGUGUUGGAGGGGAGCACAGGUGGGUGGAGCCGGGACAGGAGAACUUCUGGAAGGUCCGAAAGAGAAGUGGCCGGAGGCUUACAUGAAGGAACCAGCCUAAGGCCUUGCAGCGAUGCUUGCUGGGACAUUGGACGAGGGGAAAGUUUUGAGCAACAAGUGUUGACAGUUAGGAGUAAAAAGUUCAGUGGGUAAGGUGCCCGCACGUGGAGGUGGGAGGAGGGGGCAGCAGGGACAUAGCAUGGAUGUGUGGCAAGCUGCGGCCAUGCGUCCUCAGGGGCUGGUGUUGAGUCCAUUUCACAUUACCCUCACUUCUGUGAUGUUUACAUUUUUACCAAUGAGUUCAGGUGUAGUGCCGCAUGCUUUUAGCCCCAAAGCUUAAGAAGUAGACAGCCACAGGUUGAACUCUGAGUUCAAGGCCAGCCAAGGCUACAGAGUGAGCCCCUGCCUCAAAAGCAAAACAAAAUACGUUUUACCAAUGCUAUACCUCACUCAUACUUUCUUUUCUCCCUCUCCCCUCCCUCUCCCNGUCCUUCUCACUCUCCCUCUUCCCCCCCCUCUGUUUUUUUGAGAUGGGGGUCCUACUAUGCAACUCUAGCUGCCUUGAACUUGUAACAGUCCUCCUGACUCAGCCUUCUGUGAGGUGUGAUUACAGACUUGUGACACCAUGCACAGCAAGCUUGUAAUUCUUUUAAGGAAAGACUGGAAACCAGGGACCUGUGCCAGUGCCAGCCAAGGACCUGUGCCAG